rnacentral:rRNA from 1 species
AGUGCCAUUCUUAACGGGAUGGCUUUUCUUAAGUGUAAAAAGCUUUUGGAAUAAGAGCUGGGCAAGACCGGUGCCAGCCGCCGCGGUAACACCGGCAGCUCUAGUGGUAGCUGUUUUUAUUGGGCCUAAAGCGUUCGUAGCCGGUUUGAUAAGUCACUGGUGAAAUCCUGUAGCUUAACUGUGGGAAUUGCUGGUGAUACUGUUGAACUUGAGGUCGGGAGAGGUUAGCGGUACUCCCAGGGUAGAGGUGAAAUUCUGUAAUCCUGGGAGGACCACCUGUGGCGAAGGCGGCUAACUGGAACGAACCUGACGGUGAGGGACGAAAGCUAGGGGCGCGAACCGGAUUAGAUACCCGGGUAGUCCUAGCCGUAAACGAUGCGGACUUGGUGUUGGGAUGGCUUUGAGCCGCUCCGGUGCCGAAGGGAAGCUGUUAAGUCCGCCGCCUGGGAAGUAUGGUCGCAAGACUGAAACUUAA